UGGUUCUUCUGCGAAGUCCUUGUUGAGGU
rnacentral:piRNA from 1 species